rnacentral:rRNA from 1 species
AUUGAACGCUGGCGGCAUGCUUCACACAUGCAAGUCGAACGGUAACAGGUUAAGCUGACGAGUGGCGAACGGGUGAGUAAUGCAUCGGAACGUGCCCGGUCGUGGGGGAUAACGCGGCGAAAGCUGCGCUAAUACCGCAUACGAUCUGAGGAUGAAAGCGGGGGACCGUAAGGCCUCGCGCGAUCGGAGCGGCCGAUGUCAGAUUAGGUAGUUGGUGGGGUAAAGGCUCACCAAGCCAACGAUCUGUAUCUGGUCUGAGAGGACGACCAGCCACACUGGGACUGAGACACGGCUCAGACGCCUACGGGAGGCAGCAGUGGGGAAUGUUGGACAAGGGGCGAAAGCCUGAUCCAGCAAUGCCGCGUACAGGAAGGAGGCCUUCGGGUUGUAAACUGCUUUUGUACGGAGCGAAAAGGUCUCCUCUAAUACAGGGGGCUCAUGACGGUACCGUAAGAAUAAGCACCGGCUAACUACGUGCCAGCCGCCGCGGUAA